rnacentral:tRNA from 1 species
GUCUCUAUGGCCUAACUGGUUAGGGCGUUCGACUGUUAAUCGAAAGAUUCUCAGUUCGAUCCUGAGUAGGGACG